GUGGUCGUCGCGUAGUGCUCUGUCGAUGAAGGCUGCCGCCGGGUAGAAGAAGACACUGAGGUCGAAGGUGGGCAGGUCGUCGGCCUCCACGCCGUGGUACUGGAUGUCCAUGUCGCGGUAGUAGUCGGGCCCAGUGUCCACGUUCCAGCGGCCGUGGGCCGCGUUCAGCACGUGCGUGAACCCCGCCUUCUGCAGCCUAUAGCGGUCCAGCGCCGUCGCCCUGGGCGCAGGGGAGAGAAAUCUGUGGGCGCGCAGCGCCCUACCCCGGGUCCGGGAAACUCAGGGGCCACCCACGCUUUCCGCCGUGGAUUCCAGUUCCAGAAUAAGGACUAGUUAUUGCAAAUGAAGUCCCAAAGCUCUGCUCUUACCCGGUCCCCUAGGCCACCUGCACUGUUUUGUGAUUCUGGCUCCGCUGUCUCAAGAAAGGACAGGGUGGAGGCUGGGGUAGGCAAGCUGAGCUAUUCGUUCGUCCAUUCGUUCUUUCAUCAUUCAGUAUACACAGCGGAACCUGCUGCUGGACUCUACGGUGGUCGCAGAUCUGGACCUGCCAAAUCGCCUGAAAGCCCUCCAGAAUAACCUGUUCAUCAGGGCUGCCUUCUCCCAACCUCUGCUCUGAACCUGCUGGAUGUUUUUAGGGUUUGGAGAUGGACGCUCAACUGAAUGGUUUAAAGCAAGGCCUUCCAUAAGAGGAUUGGAUUGGGAUUGGGCAAAGUUCACAAAUUCACGUUGGCACGCUGUGAACGGGGAAGUGUUGCUUUGGGGAGCUGUUGCCCAGCUGGGCAGAGCAUUGUUCUGAGAAGGAGGGCUUUUUGAGCCAUCUGUUGUUUGAAUUGAUUGCAGGGAAGUUCUUGAAGCCAGCAGUGAAGUUAUUUAAUGGGCUACAGCUUUAUCUUUCUAGGCAAGAAUUUCCAGGAACAGUAAAGUCCUCUUGAAGUAGGUGGCUCUGAAAUAUGACUCGAUGAGAAGGCAGCAUGGUGGGGCCGGAGUGGAGAUGGGCUGCCAGAGGAAACACGGGUUCUUCCUGCCUGUGGGGUGGGGCAGGGAGAGGCCUGUGUCACUACAAGUGUCAACAUUUGGUGAUGGAGGGGAAGAAGGAGGCAAGCACGGGCCAAGCCAAGGAAACAGCACCACCUGAGUUCUCAGGAGAGACCAUUGUAGAGGCAUAAGGUGGCCUCGGGGUUUUUAACUUCUACUUGAAAUCUCCUGUCUGCCCCACUCUCCCAAACUCUAUUCCUCCAAGGAUGGAGGUGAAGAGAAGAGAAUACCCACGAGGUCUGGUUUUGAGAAAUGAUGUCGUGUGAGUGAUUGGACUCGGCAUUUGCCUAACCAUGCAAGGAGAUGGUUUAUGUUGCUUGAGGCCUUGACUGCUAAGCCGUGUUCUGGCAAUGAGAAGGCCAGGCCAGGCCAGGGCCUCAGGCUUCUCUCCCCGACCGUCUUGCCUGUGACUGCUGCCCAGCUAUGCCUCAGUUGCCUUCAGUAGUUGGAAGUCCUAGUUAUUUCAGGUAACACCCAGCAUGUUAAAUUGGCAACCUUGACUGUUUUUUGCUGCAUCCUAAACUGGCCACACCACCCACACCUGGAAGAAGCAGGUUAAUUUCAUUCCUGCUCGGUGCCUUAAGGCAGAAUUAGUUCCUCCUUUUCGGGGAGAAGGAGCUGUCUCAGCUGACUGACUUGCCUUCACUUCACUUCCCAGGCUCUCAACGCCAGGCCAGCUGUGGUGAUGCCUCUGGCUUCUGAGGCUGUGGGUCUGGUCAGAAGCAGAAAAGCAGAAAGGACAAGACAGAGGUUCCCUGGAAAGCCAGCUUGGGCUGGGUGGGUGGGGCAGGCUGCAGGCCUUGGCAGGAAUCUGAGCCCAAAUGCCGGACCUUGGAGGCAACUGUUGUUUACACAAAAAUGAGGAGCUCCUGAGGGCCCGCACCAUUCCAUGAGCAGCAGAAGUUUAACCUCACCCUGGCACUGGCUCUCCAACACCCGCAUUGUGGAGAGGGAAGAGAGAUUUCUCAAUUAUCCCGUUUCAGCCAAGCCUUAUCACUGGAGGCUGCCCUGCCUAAGAAUUUGCAAUCACUUUGAUGGUAGCCAGGAUAUUUCCCCUCCUGCUGACUAUAGGGAAAAAAAGGACUGAAAAAAGAUUUUGCUAAGCCAAUGAAAGAUGUGAACGAGAUUAAAGUGAGAAUAUUUAAAUUACAGAAACUUAGUGCUUUCGAGCGUACUCAAGCAUUUUUGAAGCACCCAUUUAGGGACUGCUGAUUGAUAAGAGGUGAUGAAUUAUUCUUAUCUCAUCAUUGACGCCAGUCCCUGGCUCUCUGGAGGGCAACACUUGGUUAACCUAAUUUGAAUCUAAUUUGAACGACUUAAAAGUAAUAAAACAAGUGUGUGCUUGAAACUAAUAAAGCCUAAUUCAUUUAA